rnacentral:lncRNA from 7 species
UCUUUUCAUACAGUUGGACCUCUCUCACAUUCUGAGCUCUUCCAGCUGAAAGCUGCACUGUUUGACGCAACGAUUAAGCUGCAGGAAAGGAAACUGCUCAGAUGCUGAUAAGUGACAUGGCAGAACAGGAAUGACAGUUUCCAGAGUUUGUUAUUUAUUUGGGAUUUUGCUGUCACCUCGACCCAACUCACAUACUUCCUGGGUGGUGUCCUGUAAUCAGAGUGGUCUGGGAGCUCGGUAGGAGCACUGUGACUUCUCUUUACCUGCAUAUCAUCUUGCCUGACUUCAUGCCUUGGAAACUGUGCUGGGACGGUGCUCUGCCAUAAUAAGCAAAAACGUAGAGGCUGUGUUAUCUGUAGAAACCACACCAGCAGAUGCUUGAUGCAUUUGCAGCUCUGAAUUUAUUAGCAGAAAAGUCUCCAAACAUCUCCAAUUCAUAUAAAUGAUAAGAAUUGUUUGUUUCUAAUGCCUCACCGUAACUGCAGCCUGUGUACAUCCUGAAAUGGCUCCCGAAGGGGAGUGCAGCUGGGCAGGGAGGGGAGAGGGGAGCUUGUGCUGGUGUGUAGAGUGUUGAUCAGAAAUAUUUGGGACCUGACUCUCAGGUGUUGAGGAAGGCAUAUGGCAAGCCUGUAUCCUAAUCCCCAAACACUGUGCAUUCAGAGGGUGCUGCAUCCCACACGUGUGAUCUCAGGAGCCAGCGCUGUGCUGAUGAUCAGAGGGCUGGAAGCUCAGGCUUCUCCAGACUCCACUUCAUAUUAAUUACUUGCUAUGUACAUCUCGUGUAAUUAAAAGCAAGAGCAUUUCCUCCCAUCCUCAGCACAGAGGCGCCGUGCUGCUGUUGUAAACACACUUGAGAUUGAAGCAAGGCAUUUGCUUCCUGAGCUCUUUGCUUUUAUUUCAUGUUAAAUGCUGGCAGCAGGCACUACCUGCACUGGGCAGGGGCAGAGGGUUCAUAUUAAUUACAUGUUGUUAUGGAAACAGCACAUCAAACUUAGAUUGAUGUUUCCAGGGGAGGGAGGGACAGAGCUGCUCAUAAUGGAAAGACUCGUGGUUAAUUUGAAGGGACAAGAGUUUGCCAGUUUGGGUUUCUGUAAAAUUGCUAGAACCUAGAAACAUAUCCUGGGUUUGUCUGUCCUUUCCCUUCCUGUGGCUGAUGAUUGCUGUCUGCAUCAAUCCAUGACCCUGAGCCCUGUGAGAAGCCCCAGUUUGUCAGCAGAUCAAAUAAUGUUCUCCACUAAGCAUUCUGUACAUGCAUCUUGAACAAGACAGAAUUAACACUGAUGAU